rnacentral:miRNA from 1 species
UAAUGCUGUCAUGAUUGGGGUAU